AGAGUUUGAUCCUGGCUCAGAACGAACGCUGGCGGCAGGCUUAACACAUGCAAGUCGAACGCCCCGCAAGGGGAGUGGCAGACGGGUGAGUAACGCGUGGGAAUCUACCGUACCCUACGGAAUAACGCAUGGAAACGUGUGCUAAUACCGUAUACGCCCUACGGGGGAAAGAUUUAUCGGGGUAUGAUGAGCCCGCGUUGGAUUAGCUAGUUGGUGGGAUAAAGGCCUACCAAGGCGACGAUCCAUAGCUGGUCUGAGAGGAUGAUCAGCCACAUUGGGACUGAGACACGGCCCAAACUCCUACGGGAGGCAGCAGUGGGGAAUAUUGGACAAUGGGCGCAAGCCUGAUCCAGCCAUGCCGCGUGAGUGAUGAAGGUCUUAGGAUUGUAAAGCUCUUUCACCGAUGAAGAUAAUGACGGUAGUCGGAGAAGAAGCCCCGGCUAACUUCGUGCCGGCAGCCGCGGUAAUACGAAGGGGGCUAGCGUUGUUCGGAAUUACUGGGCGUAAAGCGCACGUAGGCGGAUAUUUAAGUCAGGGGUGAAAUCCCGCAGCUCAACUGCGGAACCGCCUUUGAUACUGGGUAUCUCGAGUAUGGAAGAGGUGAGUGGAAUUCCGAGUGUAGAGGUGAAAUUCGUAGAUAUUCGGAGGACACCAGUGGCGAAGGCGGCUCACUGGUCCAUUACUGACGCUGAGUGCGAAGCGUGGGGAGCAACAGGAUUAGAUACCUGUAGUCACGCCGUAAACGAUGAAUGUUAGCCGUCGGGCAGCUUGCUGUCGUGGCGCAGCUAACGCAUUAAACAUUCCGCCUGGGGAGUACGGUCGCAAGAUUAAAACUCAAAGGAAUUGACGGGGGCCCGCACAAGCGGUGGAGCAUGUGGUUUAAUUCGAAGCAACGCGCAGACCCUUACCAGCUCUUGACAUUCGGGGUAUGGGCAGUGGAGACAUUGUCCUUCAGUUCGGCUGGCCCCAGAACAGGUGCUGCAUGGCUGUCGUCAGCUCGUGUCGUGAGAUGUUGGGUUAAGUCCCGCAACGAGCGCAACCCUCGCCCUUAGUUGCCAGCAUUCAGUUGGGCACUCUAAGGGGACUGCCGGUGAUAAGCCGAGAGGAAGGUGUGAGACGACGUCAAGUCCUCAUGGCCAUUACGGGCUGGGCUACUCACGUGCUACAAUGGUGGUGACAGUGGGCAGCGAGACCGCGAGGUCGAGCUAAUCUCCAAAAGCCAUCUCAGUUCGGAUUGCACUCUGCAACUCGAGUGCAUGAAGUUGGAAUCGCUAGUAAUCGCAGAUCAGCAUGCUGCGGCGAAUACGUUCCCGGGCCUUGUACACACCGCCCGUCACACCAUGGGAGUUGGUUUUACCCGAAGGUAGUGCGCUAACCGCAAGGAGGCAGCUAACCACGGUAGGGUCAGCGACUGGGGUGAAGUCGUAACAAGGU
rnacentral:rRNA from 1 species